CUCUGUUCCAGAAGCUGCCAAACAGUGGCGCAGGGUGAGCUGUGCCACUGCAUCCACUGGCCUCACUCGAAUCUGAAUGGUCCAGCCCAAUUGCUGUGGUUCACCAAAGGCCACAACUGACAUCAUCAAGCCUGAAGAAGCAACAGCGAGGACGAGCCCUGUAUGGUUGUGCCUCAAAAUGGGGACAGUGUUCAAUUGCUGAAAUGAUUGAAUUCUGCUGAGUCCAGAAAGGUAUAAAGUGUUGAGGAAGCAAGCUGGCGACUGAAAGGAAAGGAAGUGAAGUCUGGGAGAGAGUCCAGGAAAAGAAAUGGUGAUCACUUAGAUUUGGCUGUUCUGAAUUUCUCACCGAAUUUCUCAUCUAAUCGUGAUGAAUUUUAUAUCUCUUUUUACAUUAUGUUAAAAAGGCAAGAUUUACCCAACAAUCUCAAAACGACCAUCACGUGAAUAACUGGCACUUGAAUAUCCUUGGCUUGAAACCAUAGAUCCAGAAUAUUUGUCUGUUCUAUCUGCUUCAAAAUAUUUGAAACAUCAGUUUGUCUGGAAAAGUACUGAGGCAUACACACCGAAGUGAGAGUUUUCUAGUGAACUGAAUACCUUCAUCCAAUCUCCCAGCCUGAAGAAACAUUGCACCGUUCACAGUAGGAAGAGACCAUGCCAGUGUUUCUGGGUGGACAAGGAUUCAACUGACUGUAAAACUUACAGAGACACAAAGCUGCACAUGAAAUGGAGAAACCAUGGAAAGGUGAGGACCAUGGGAAAGGAUUUCAUUCCCUGUCAACGCUGGAGUUUCAUCGACACAGUCACAGCAGGGAAAGACCGUUCACCUGUUCUGAGUGUGGGAACGGAUUCCCUGAUUCAUCUGCUCUGCGGAAACAGCAGCGUGCUGCCAGUGGAGAGAGGCCAUUCACCUGCUCCGAGUGUGGGAAGCAGUUCAGAGGUUCAUCUACACUACAGAAACACCACCAGGUUCAUACUGGCAGUAGCUGUUUAUCCGUUCUGAAUGUUGGAAAGGAUUCACUCAGUCAUUGGAUUCACUCAGUCAUCGGAUUCACUCAGUCAUCCAGUCUGUGGAAGCAUAAGAACGUUCACAAAUGAUCAUAGGACUUGGAUCUGCGGUUAAUCUGCAAUAUUUGAGCUGCUAGACAGGCCUACAACUUCUACCAUCCAAAAGAACAAGUGCAGCAGUUACAUGGGACUGUUACCACCUGCAUGCUCCCCUCCAUAUCACACACCAUUCUCAUUAACAGGAUGUUAGAAAGGAAGGUUUGCAGACAGAAGUCUCAAAAUGACCUUCACAUGAAGAUCUAAUGGAGUCACUGAAAUCACUGGGAUUUGAAUAUCAUGCUCCUCCAUAUUGGCUGUUCCUUCGUUGUCAAUGAGUCAAAAUCCUGGAACUCCUCCCUAACAGCAUUGUGGGUGAUCCUACACCACAAGGACUGCAAGUCCCAGAAGGCAACUCACCAUCACUUUCUCAAGGAGGACAAUGGGAUGGGCAAUGAAUGCUGACAUAGACUUUGAUAGUAUACAUCACGAAUUGAUUUUAAAAAUGAGGGAAAAUCACAUCCAGGAUGGAGCUGCAUGCAUUUAGACAGUGGGUGAAGUAGGAGAGUCAGAAGGUUUCCAUUUGCUGGACUAGCCGCUGUCACCACUUUGCUUUCAGUGAGGCUGAUGCUCUUUGAGCCUGGGACUGCACAUUGAUACUGAAAAUACCCCUAAAAGCUGCUGAAGUACAUUUACUUUAUC